GCCCAAUCUCUCUCUCUCUCUCUCUCUCUCUCUCUCUCUCUCUCUCUCUCUCACACACACACACACACACACAGAGAGAGAGAGAGAGAGAGAGAGAGAGAGAAGCUGUUGCUCUG